rnacentral:rRNA from 1 species
GACGAACGCUGGCGGCGUGCCUAAUACAUGCAAGUCGAGCGGUCCCUUCGGGGAUAGCGGCGGACGGGUGAGUAACACGUAGGCAACCUGCCUGUAAGACCGGAAUAACUAUCGGAAACGAUAGCUAAGACCGGAUAGCUGGUUUUCUCGCAUGAGAGAAUCAUGAAACACAGGGCAACCUGUGGCUUACAGAUGGGCCUGCGGCGCAUUAGCUAGUUGGUAGGGUAACGGCCUACCAAGGCGACGAUGCGUAGCCGACCUGAGAGGGUGACCGGCCAGACGGGGACUGAGACACGGCCCAGACUCCUACGGGAGGCAGCAGUAGGGAAUCUUCCGCAAUGGACGCAAGUCUGACGGAGCAACGCCGCGUGAGUGAUGAAGGUCUUCGGAUCGUAAAGCUCUGUUGCCCUAGACGAACAGCAAGGAGAGUAACUGCUCUUUGUGUGACGGUAUAGGAGAAGAAAGCCCCGGCUAACUACGUGCCAGCCGCCGCCGUAA